rnacentral:tRNA from 1 species
GGAUUGUGGCUCAGUAGUAGAACACUUGCCUAGCAUGAGUGAGGCUCUGGGUUCGAUCCCCAGUACCA